rnacentral:rRNA from 1 species
CCCUUAGAUGUCCUGGGCCGCACGCGCGCUACACUGAGUGUCUGAGAUACGAGUCUGCCUGGUCCGGCAAGGUCUAGGUAAUCGCUAAAAGACACAUCAUGCUUGGGAUAGAUUAUUGCAAAUAUUAAUCUUGAACGAGGAAUUCCUAGUAAGCGCAAGUCAACAGCUUGCGUUGAUUACGUCCCUGCCCUUUGUACACACCGCCCGUCGCUACUACUGAUUGGGUGUUCAAGUGAGAUGCUUAGACCCUUGUUGCAUGGUUCAUUAUUGUGCUCCGAAAGGAAAAAGUUUCAAGCUUGAGUGUCUAGAGGAAGUAAAAGUCGUAACA